rnacentral:rRNA from 1 species
UACGGGGGGGGCAAGCGUUGUUCGGAAUUACUGGGCGUAAAGGGCGCGUAGGCGGCCUACUAAGUCGGACGUGAAAUCCCUCGGCUCAACCGAGGAACUGCGUCCGAUACUGGUGGGCUUGAAUCCGGGAGAGGGAUGUGGAAUUCCAGGUGUGGCGGUGAAAUGCGUAGAUAUCUGGAGGAACACCGGUGGUGUAGACGGCUUUCUGGACCGUAACUGACGCUGAGACACGAAAGCGUGGGUAGCAAACAGG